rnacentral:snoRNA from 1 species
AACCCAUGGUGAGGGCACCUUUUCAAAAGAUCCUUGUAUCUCUCCCAUGCAUCGUAGAGUGUUUCUAAAUCCAUCU